rnacentral:rRNA from 1 species
UACAGAGGUCCCAAGCGUUGUUCGGAUUCAUUGGGCGUAAAGGGCGCGUAGGUGGCCCGGUCAGUUCGUGGUGAAAGCGCGGGGCUCAACCCUGCGUCGGCCAUGAAUACUGCCGCGGCUGGAGCACUGUAGAGGCAGGCGGAAUUCCGGGUGUAGCGGUGGAAUGCGUAGAGAUCCGGAAGAACACCGGUGGCGAAGGCGGCCUGCUGGGCAGUUGCUGACACUGAGGCGCGACAGCGUGGGGAGCAAACAGG